GCCCCUAUGGUGCAGUCCGGUCAAGCACAGAGGCCUUUCAAGCCUUUGACACGGGUUCAAAUCCCGUUGGGGGCA
rnacentral:tRNA from 1 species